CACAGAAAAUUUAAGACUGUACACUCUACAAUGUGAAUGACGUCAAUUGUUCCUUGUUUAUAGUUUUGAAAAAUCAUUUUAUAAAUUUCAUGGUUCAGCAACUGAAUUUUAUUAAAUUAAACCGCAUAAACCGAUCAAAUAAGGAUUCGAACACCAUUUGUUGAUUAGAAAUUUAAUCGAAAUUGGAAAAUAAUUGAAAACAAUGCAGUUGGCUGCGGAUGAUAAAUAACAUUAGCUGGGAAGUAAUAGAUACUCUGUGGGCGAUACUUGGAUGACAUCCAAUCAGAAAAAUGGAAAAAACCUAUCAGCGGUUGCUUUUCUCGGCUGCUUAUUUUAAAAGGAGUCCAAAGGAAUGUGUGCACAUUUGUGAUAAGCAGGAAUUCCUUUGACACAAUACUAGUCUAUUUCAUAUAAGUAUAAUAAUGGGUUUUGGUGUUUCAUAGCUUUUCCGUUAUAACUUCCUCCAUAGCCCCAGAAUGGAAUAUCAAGCAAGGAAGUCAUUUAAGCGUUAAAUACAAAUUGUUUAAAGUACAUCCUUCUGUCGACACAACGCGCAACACACCAGUUGUGCUAAAGAAGAUAGGACAAAUAAAGCCAGUGAGGCGUAACCAAUCCUUUGGGGUAUAAAUACAAAUGUUAAGCGGCAAAUCGUUAACAGUUUAACCACAAGCUUUGGUGUGAAAGGACUUAUGUCCGAUUUUUUGGUGUUAACUUGUUGAAGCUACGUUGACAGUUUUUUGGUUGUUGGAGUUUUUGAAACAUUGACACGUAACGGUGUUGCAAAACGAAUUUGGGAUGUAGUCCAUUAAAGAUUUUGUAAACCCGCCAUGUUGGUCUGGGAAAAACCUUUUUCGUUUCGUUUGGCUGUAUUUGUUUUUUUAAUUCUUGGUUUUUAAGCCUGUAAUCAGUAAAGAAUCCAUCCAAAUAAUAUCUUAAAAAACUAAUAUAAAAAAAUUUAAAAAAUAAUCAAACCCAAUAUUUUAACAAUACUAUGCAACAAUUAUGAAUUUGGUUUUAUUUUAGCAAAUAAAAGAAAUAUAACUAAAAAAAGAAUGUAAAUCUUGGCUACCCUACUAGAAUGAAAUGUGAAUCACAAUAAUGCUAUGUUUUAAAACUCUAAAUUAAAUAAAUUAUUAUCAUUUUAAAGAAGAAAUUAUAUCAAGUUAUUGAAAUAUCGAAAUUAUAAAUUCAGUAUGAUUACAAAAUAUUAAUAUAUUUUUAUCAAAUAUCAAAUAUAUUAUAACCAAUAAACAAAAAAUAUAAAUAUAUAUUAUGUAUACUCGUUUGUUAUAUGCAAUCAAAUAUCGAAAUUACAGUGUGUAGUGAAAUUUAUUGUUCUCAAAAUCGGACAGAAACAUCCGACCAUCGAGAGUCGGUAUCCUAGUUUCAGUUACAUUAUAUAUGUUAUCAAUACCUAAAAAGUAUAUAAAUUCAACAAAAAAUGAAAAAUUAAAUAAUUGUAUUUAUGUGUCAUGUUGCUGUUGUUUGGGAUUCGAAUUAUCUCAACGGAAUAAAUAAAUAAAUAAAGAAUAUUAAUUGAAAUGUAUGCAAUAUUAA